rnacentral:lncRNA from 10 species
AUCCAUUUAGGAUUUUAAAACAAUCUAUCACCUAUCUUUGACCAUAUGGACUAAAAUUGAUAUCCACCAAUAGACACUGAUGCCUGCAAGUCAACAGCAUAAAGAGUGGUAAAGUCAGUGCUGCAAAAGAUGAAAUGUUUUUAAUGUGGCUUUGAUAUCAGGAUGAUGCUGGCCUCAUAAAAUGAGUUUGGGAGGAUUCCCUCUUUUUCUAUCAACUGGAAUAGUUUCAGAAGGAAUGGUACCAGCUCCUCCUUGUACCUCUGG